rnacentral:rRNA from 1 species
UACGUGAGGUGGCAAGCGUUGUCCGGAAUUUAUUGGGCGUAAAGCGCGCGCAGGUGGUUUCUUAAGUCUGAUGUGAAAGCCCACGGCUCCAACCGUGGAGGGUCAUUGGAAACUGGGGGAACUUGAGUGCAGGAGAGAAGAGUGGAAUUCCACGUGUAGCGGUGAAAUGCGUAGAGAAUGUGGAGGAACACCAGUGGGCGAAGGCGACUCUUUGGCCUGUAACGUGACACUGAGGCGCGAAAGCGUGGGGAGCAAACAGG